UCUGCCCCUAGAGAUGUUGCAAGUGUGGCUUCUGUGUCACACCUGCAUUAGUUGGUGGCAGAGAGGAGAGAUGCUGUGACUACGCUCAGUGUUCUGACCUGUGAACUUGUGAAUGAUUAGUAGCCUAGCACA
ensembl:snoRNA Gm25311 small nucleolar RNA SNORA17